UCCUUGCCAGGUUGUUCAUUCUCCAGCAUGAGCCGUCAGGUCUGCUCAGAAACAACUGAAACAUGCUUAGGAAUUCUCCUUCAUUAAAUCCCUGCAGCUUCUGUCUCACUCACUUUAAACUUGCAUAUGAUAUAUCCAGGUCACCUUCUGCAGUUGGGCUUAGAAUGGCUGUGCCCAUUUUCAUGCUGGCACGGUGGUUGACAAACCAUUGACCGUUGGAGGCAAAACCAAUCAGGUACCACUUCCCUGCCAUCUGAGGUGCAAGAUAUUGUGUUUGAAUGUGAAUUAUCCAAAAAAUCCUCUGAGAAUGCUUACCCCCUGUACAUUGAAGUCAGCUGGGGGCAUGACUUCGGCAGACACCCCCAUGGAGGCGAGUGUGGCGGCCAGCAGUGUCAGCAGCAAGGUCAUAGCGAUGGUGAAGAAGUAGAGUAUGGCUGAAGAGCGCGUCUGCUGUCACACCAAAUCCUGAUAAUGACUUCAGUCAACAAGAAAACUGCUUUCAGGUGUCUGCCGCACCGGCAUCUCUCCAGGUCACUAAUGUGUGUAAGUGACAGGAAGAAAAACUCUGACUUUCUUGGAGCCACAUGUUGAUUUGAUUUUCAGACACCAUAAAGGAUCAGAUGAUUCCUCUGGACACCCCUGACAACCUCAGUGACCUCAUCACCUUGGGAGUUCGCAUUGAAAAGUGCCAGUGUCACAGAUUGAAGAACCUAUGUAGCUGGGAGGCAGCCGCUUUACUCCAACGGACAGGAUCAAGCGUCAGCGAUUGUGGUUGUGCAUCUGCUGCGGACAGGGGAGUCAACCCAUCUUCCACUGUCCCGUCCGUUCUGACCCAACCCCACCAGUGACCACUUAUGUGGAGAAGUCCUUCUUGUUAGAUGUGGCAUCCAGCCGGCUACAAUUGCCAGAAUCGAGUGUCCAAACAAAGCACCCAAAGCGUUGCUGACUCACUGCGAUUUGAUAAAGAAGGUGGGGGUCACCAUUGAUUUCAAGAAGGAAUUCAUCUGAAAGGACAGAUGGCACCCCCCUCUGCUUCCCACCAUUUUCACCAACAAGAUUCAUCAAGAAAGGGCGAAAGAAAAUCUAAACCCACAAGUGGUGAAAACAUGGAAGUGGUGAAACGUCCCAGUAGUGAACUGUCCAAAAAAAUGACCCCAAAAGCACAGCGAUGACUCAUCACAAAAGACCACACAACAACAUCCAAGAACUGCGGGCCUCACUUAAGGUCAGUCUUCAUGACUCCACAUGACUCAUGACUCCAUAAGAAAUAUGUGUGACAAACAUAAGAAAUCAGGAAGGGGGCAAACACUUUUUCACACCACUGCACAAUAAUUCUCGGUAAAAUGUAUUUUUUUUGUUAUUGUUUUUGGGUAUCUGGAGGUCGGCAUCCGGAUUAGAUACCCGAGCUACCUUAACUGGCUCCUCUGGAUGUGAUCUCUUCAGUAAACUCUUGAGUAAACUGUAUUUUUAUUGUUUAUUACUUAACGCUUUAUAAUUUUUUUACGUUUUUGUAUGAACUUUCGGAACAAAUUCUUAACGAAAACCGAUGUGCUACUGAGUAGCACACUUAUUAGAAACACAUUAGACCUAUUAGAAGUUAAAGGGGUACUGCAAUAUUUCACAAUCCUUAUGUGAAACAUGAACACAUAUAAUGCAGAGGAAAG